UGAGGUAGUAAGUUGUAUUGUUA
rnacentral:ncRNA from 3 species